rnacentral:rRNA from 1 species
AGGACGAACGCUGGCGGCGUGCUUAACACAUGCAAGUCGAGCGGAAAGGCCCUUCGGGGUACUCGAGCGGCGAACGGGUGAGUAACACGUGAGCAACCUGCCCUUAGCUUCGGGAUAGCUCCGGGAAACCGGAAUUAAUACCGGAUAUGACUAUGGCCGACAUCAGCCAUGGUGGAAAGUUUUUCGGCUAGGGAUGGACUCGCGGCCUAUCAGCUAGUUGGUGAGGUAACGGCUCACCAAGGCGACGACGGGUAGCCGGCCUGAGAGGGCGACCGGCCACACUGGGACUGAGACACGGCCCAGACUCCUACGGGAGGCAGCAGUGGGGAAUAUUGCGCAAUGGGCGAAAGCCUGACGCAGCGACGCCGCGUGGGGAUGAAUGCCUUCGGGUUGUAAACCCUUUCAGCAGGGACGAAGCGAAAGUGACGGUACCUGCAGAAGAAGCGCCGGCUAACUACGUGCCAGCAGCCGC